rnacentral:tRNA from 1 species
ACGUUCGUAACUCAAUGGUUAGAGUGCUACUAUGACAUAGUAGAAGUUAGUGGUUCAAAUCCACUCGAACGUACAA